rnacentral:rRNA from 1 species
GAUGAACGCUGGCGGCGUGCCUAAUACAUGCAAGUCGAGCGAACAGACGAGGAGCUUGCUCCUCUGACGUUAGCGGCGGACGGGUGAGUAACACGUGGAUAACCUACCUAUAAGACUGGGAUAACUUCGGGAAACCGGAGCUAAUACCGGAUAAUAUAUUGAACCGCAUGGUUCAAUAGUGAAAGACGGUUUUGCUGUCACUUAUAGAUGGAUCCGCGCCGUAUUAGCUAGUUGGUAAGGUAACGGCUUACCAAGGCAACGAUGCGUAGCCGACCUGAGAGGGUGAUCGGCCACACUGGAACUGAGACACGGUCCAGACUCCUACGGGAGGCAGCAGUAGGGAAUCUUCCGCAAUGGGCGAAAGCCUGACGGAGCAACGCCGCGUGAGUGAUGAAGGUCUUCGGAUCGUAAAACACUGUUAUUAGGGAAGAACAAAUGUGUAAGUAACUAUGCACGUCUUGACGGUACCUAAUCAGAAAGCCACGGCUAACUACGUG